AUCUGUCACAGCCGAGAGUCUGGCCAAGUAACUAAGGGAACCGCCCCCUACUCCCAACGUGAGCUACUGCCAUGAAGAGCAAGGACCGGCCAAAGCAAGCAGAGAGGAUCUGCGCAUGUUCAGAGACCACCGUGGCUGUAUGAAUGUUUUUGAGUGUGUACAGUGUGUGGCCACCAUGUGUGUGCAGUGCCCACUGGGGUCAGAAGAGGACAUUAGAGGCCCUGGAACUGGAGGAAGAGAUGGUUGUGAAGAACCCUGCAGGUGCUGGGUCCUCCAAAGCCUCCUGCAAUCCUGCCUCGUUUAAUCCUCGAGAGACAGUUUUAAACUGUUGAUUCUGUCUGUCUGUCUGUCUGUCUAUCUAUCUAUCUAUCAAAAUAAAAAGAACAAAAUAAAAUUCUUCUCUAAAGGGGCUGGAAGAUGGCCCAAUGAAUGAAAUAUCUGUCAUGUUAAUAUUAGGAUCUGCAUUUGAUCCCAGCCACCAAGUAAAAGGCACAAUCAUGUAAUCCCAGUUCUGGGAGGCAGAGGUAGGCAGAUCCAUGGGGCUUUGUGACCGAGGCCAGUGAGAGACCCUGUUUCAAAAACAAACAAACAAACAAACAAACAAACAAACAAACCGUGGUGGAUGACUCCUAACCACAACAUGUAUGCACGUACAUGUGCACGAACACCAGAACACACACACACACACACACACACACACACACACA